GAUGACCCCAGCCAGGUGACUAUCUAGCCUCUUGAAGACCUCCAAGCUAGAUGCCAAUUUAAUUACAACAGACUUCCCUCCCCCCAACAAGAUGUUAUCCCAGCUACCUGCAGUUGUUGUCUCCAAAGGACAGUGUGAGUUCGUGCCCGGUGCGCUAUUGCCAAUGAACACACAGGGGUGGAGGAUCCAACUUAAUCUUUAUUGUUUCCAGUCUGUGCAGAG